GUCCCUGUUGAGCAAUUAAUAGCCCAUUGGACUUGUAAUCCAAAGGUCGUGGGUUCGAAUCCCUCCUGGGAUG